UCAUUUUUUACUGUGUUUAAUCGCAGGAACGGUGGUAUUAUCCGUCACGUAAAUAUUUUACUCUCUUCUGUGCCGGCGACGUGCGCGUGCAGACCAGUAAAAAACAAAAAAAAAACUAUACAAGCACACGCUGAAUCCGACGACGAGAUUUAAAAUACUGUGACGAAUCGUUCCGUCAAAUUCGUCAAUCAGCAAUGGAGGUGGCGCUAUAUAUAAACAAUAAUAAUAUAUUAAUCACAAUUGAAUUACUCUUCAAACGGAUAAUUUUCGGACCGUUUUGUAAAACUAUUGUUUUCGUGCUGUACAAAAACGCGCAAACACGACGAAAUGUUCGUUUGAAAAAGAAAAAGAAAAAACCUCGA